rnacentral:lncRNA from 10 species
UCUGUCAGUAAAAGUGAAAGAAGAAAGUGUCUGAAAUCCCAGCUACUCCGGAGGCUGAGGCAGAAGAAUCGCUUGAAUCCGGGAGGCGAAUGUUGCAAUGAGCCGAGAUCGUGCCACUGCACUCCAGCCUGGGCGACAGAGCAAGACUCUGUCUCAAAAAAGGAAACAAACAAAAAAAAGAAAGUGAAUUGGCCACCUUUUCAGAGCAACCCCGUGGGCCAGGGCUUUUUCCUUCCAUCGCAAGGGAAAUGGUGAACUUGGCGGGUGGGGUUGGAGGCAGUGGUCCAGAUAUGUGAUGAAUGCCUCGAAAAGAAGUGAACAUUGCCUCAUUUCUUCCUUCUGGAGUGCUGUCCGUAAGAGUUUCCGAGGCCAUUGGUAGCUGCAGAACCCCUUUUGAAAUAAAAUCUUAUACAAGCCCCAGUAUACAAAGGCAGGUAAAAAGGGAGCUAGAUUGGUUUGGGGGACUUUGAGAAAUCUUAGCUGAUGGAUUUUACAAUGUUGUUAAAAUGCCCAGUGAAGAGAGAAAGGCAUGUGAAUUCAUCUUCCAAAGCCCAUGGUGAAAUGUGAGACAAAAUAUCCACUCUAAAAAAUUAGCAAUCAGGCUGGGUGCAGCAUUUCUGUUGGAAGACAUUUCUGGAGGCCAAGGUGGGGUGAUCACUUGAAGUCAGGAGUUCAAGCCCAGCCCAGCCAACAUGGUGAAACCCUGUCUCUACUACAAAUACAAAAAUUAGCUGAGCACAGUGGUGCAUGCCUGUAGUCCCAGCUACUCAGGAGGCUGAGGCAGGAGAAUGGCUUGGACCCAUGAGGUGGAGGUUGCAGUGAGUGGAGAUUGUGCCACUGCACUCCAGCCGGGGUGACAGAGCAAGACGUCUCAAAAAAAAAAAAAAAAUUAGCAGUCAGAUGGCACUGACUUCUUUUAUUGAUUUUCCAGAAUGCUCUCUUCAAAGCCUACACGUUUUCAUCUUUGGGUUCAGUUUUCUUGAGGGCAAAACUAGUGCCUAAUUAAGUCUUAUUUUUGUGUCUGAUUAUCUUUAACACCCUUGAAAAGUGUUUGCCAGUUUUCUAGAAAAAAAUUGAUGACUUGCUCCUCCGCUGGUUCUGCUGACUUGCUGUUUUGGAAGAGAUGUUUUUCUUGUUUUUCUUUUCAUUGGUGUCAAGGGAGAUGGAAACAGUGAGGGCUUUAACCUCUUCUCCUCUUUGCCAGGCUAGGAAGACCCAGUUGAGACAGCGGACACUAGAGCAGCCUGGAAGGGAACACCUGCCUACGAAGCCCCUAGGAGCAUGAGGUGUUUCCUCCCACAGCUUCCUGUCCUGCCCAGGGCUAAGAGGACAAGACUGGCAGAAGGACAACCAGCAAUGCUGAGGGACUGUGGCUCAAGGCACUGAUGUCAUUGCCUUGGGUUGCAGUUUUUCUUUUUUUGAAGGAGUCUAACUCUGUCACCUAGGCUGGAGUGCAGUGGAGCAAUUGCGGCUCACUGCAGCCUCAACUUCCUGGGCUCAAGCAAUCCUCCCACCUCAGCCUCAUGAGUAGCUUGGACUACAGUGCCCGAGGGGCAAAACUGCAGCAGAGUGGCUCCUGUAUCCUCAGCACUCAACAUGGACCCCGUUGUUGGUGUUCAAGAAACAUUUGAGGAGCUGCACUUACUUGGAAUGAGAAAAAGUUACACCCAUGACCUCCAGGUAAAGCAGACAGCAAAUGGCAUAAGUGAAGGGCCCUGCAGCAGCCACAGACACAGGCCUGGGGAAAUAGAGGAUCCCAGAUGGAAGAGCUGCCACUUACUGGGCACCGCCCUGUGCCAAACCCAACACCGUGUGCACUCUGUAGACUCUCAUUGAAUCCCUAAAUCCUUCCGUGGUAUGGAUUAUUAUCUCCAUUUUACUAAUGAGGCCAUUAAAGCUCAGAAGAUUAAGUAACGUGACCAGUAUAAAGUACAAGAAAAUGACAGAUUCCGAUUUUUUUUUUUUUUUUUGAGACAGGGUCUCUCUCUCUCUCUCUCUCUCUUUCUCUCUCUGUUGCCCAGGCUGGAGUGCAGUGAUCCAAUCACAGCUCACUGUAGCCUUGACCUCUAGGUUCAAGCAAUCCACCCCCACUCAGCCUCCCACAUAGCUAGGACCAUAGGUGUGCACCACCAUGCCCAGCUCCUUUUCUUUUUUUUUUCUUUGGUAGAGACGGGGUUCUCACUAUGUUGCCUGGCUGAUCUUGAACUCCUGGACUCAAGCAAUCCUCCCACCUCAGCCUCCCAAAGUGCUGAGAUUACAGGCAUGAGCCACUGCAGAUUCAGAUUUUGAGCACUUGUCUAGCUGAUUUCAAAGCCUGUCCUCUUUCCACAAUCAGGUCUUAAGUCAUAUCCUGAAGAGUUUGUCAUUGCUCUUCCAGGAAUCCGAUCCCCACUGGACAGGCUGGGAAGGUCUGGGCUGCUAGUGGUGUUGCAGAUAGACUCCCAGGCAGCUGAUGGAGGUGUGGAAUGAAGAGCGUGAGAGAUAACAGAAGCAGGCAUGGCAGUGCUACCCAGCAGAGCCAUGUGACAGAGGCGGGGAUGCUGCCGUGGGUUGUCCAGCAAAUAGAGAUGCCAGGCCUGAGGCUUGAUUCUCUCAGACCUUCUGCCUCUGGCAG